rnacentral:tRNA from 1 species
CUCCCUGUGGCUCAGUUGGUAGAGCAUGGUGUUUGCAACGCCAGGGUUGUGGGUUCGAUUCCCACGGGGGACC